GGAGAGAUGCCGAAGUGGUCAUAACGGAACUGUCUCGAAAACAGGUAGCUGUUGAAAAAUGGCGCGUGGGUUCGAAUCCCACUCUCUCCG
rnacentral:tRNA from 1 species